rnacentral:rRNA from 1 species
GAUGAACGCUGGCGGCGUGCUUAACACAUGCAAGUCGAACGAUGAAGCCCAGCUUGCUGGGUGGAUUAGUGGCGAACGGGUGAGUAACACGUGAGUAACCUGCCCUUAACUCUGGGAUAAGCCUGGGAAACUGGGUCUAAUACCGGAUAGGAGCGUCCACCGCAUGGUGGGUGUUGGAAAGAUUUAUCGGUUUUGGAUGGACUCGCGGCCUAUCAGCUUGUUGGUGAGGUAAUGGCUCACCAAGGCGACGACGGGUAGCCGGCCUGAGAGGGUGACCGGCCACACUGGGACUGAGACACGGCCCAGACUCCUACGGGAGGCAGCAGUGGGGAAUAUUGCACAGUGGGCGCAAGCCUGAUGCAGCGACGCCGCGUGAGGGAUGACGGCCUUCGGGUUGUAAACCUCUUUCAGUAGGGAAGAAGCGAAAGUGACGGUACCUGCAGAAGAAGCACCGGCUAACUACGUG